ACUUCUGUGCACUUUUCAUAGGCCGGCUUGUGGGUGCGUUCGCGCACUUGUAGGUGUCGGGCUUAUGCUUUAUUACAAACGAUUCAGUUUUAGAAUGUCAUACUUUGCUAUAACGCAAUUUAUAUACAACUUUCAGCAACGGAUCUCUUGGCUCUCGCAUCGAUGAAGAACGCAGCGAAAUGCGAUAAGUAAUGUGAAUUGCAGAAUUCAGUGAAUCAUCGAAUCUUUGAACGCACCUUGCGCUCCUUGGUAUUCCGAGGAGCAUGCCUGUUUGAGUCUCAUGGAAUUCUCAACCUUCAGCUUUAUUGAUGAAGGCUUGGACUUGGAGGUCGUGCCGGCUCUCGUAGUCGGCUCCUCUGAAAUGCAUUU
rnacentral:rRNA from 2 species